CUUUGAUGGGCCUCACAAAAUGUGUUGAAUUCAACCAAACACUUCCUCUGAGUUUAAUUCAGCUUUAGACAUUCCCUCUAAUAUGUCGUUGUUUCUCCUUAUUUCAGGCACUUUUUAGAUUGCACUGUAUUAUGAAGUUAAAAUGCUAAGGAUACAUUUUUAAGCUCAAUGUGUUAGUGAUUAAUAAUCCCUUGAAACAAUAUGGAAUAUCUUGAAUUGUGAUUCAUUAUAAUGAUGCUUGACCCUGAGGUCCCUGAGUUAAUUUUGAUCUCACGGGCCAACUUCCCCAGGAAAUCGAAGGUUGCCAUAGUAGCAGUAGCAGUAACAGAAAACAGGAUGAAGGCAAUGGACAAGAAGUGCCAUCCUCUAUCUAUGCCUGCGUAGCUGAAUUUCAGUUUUAAUUUUAUUUACUUUGUGAUACUGCAUUUAUAAAAUGUAUUACAUAUUUAAACUGUAAAAUAACCUCUGAAUUGUGGGGGCUGUGGAAAGAGGGAUGUGCAUUAAUUGUUUUUGGAUUUUCAUAUGUAUUUCUUUGUCAAUAAACAAUAAAAAUAAGUGAAGAA